GCUGGCGUAGCUCAAAGGAAGAGCAGCUGAUUUGUAAUCAGCAGGUUGCGGGUUCGAAUCCCACCGCCAGCUCCA
rnacentral:tRNA from 1 species